rnacentral:rRNA from 1 species
UACAGAGGGUGCAAGCGUUAAUCGGAGUGACUGGGCGUAAAGGGCGUGUAGGUGGAUAGAUAAGUCAUGUGUGAAAUAUCCGGGCUUAACCUGGAGGGGUCAUAUGAUACUGUUUAUCUGGAGUAGAGCAGAGGGAAGUAGAAUUUCCGGUGUAGCGGUGAAAUGCGUAGAGAUCGGAAGGAAUACCAGUGGCGAAGGCGGCUUCCUGGGCUCAUACUGACACUGAGGCGCGAAGGCGUGGGUAGCAAACAGG